GAUUUCCCGGAGCUUUAAGCUCCUUGAAGGGUCGUUCGAGACCAGGACGUUGAUAGGCUGGGUGUGGAAGUGCAGUAAUGCAUUAAGCUAACCAGUACUAAUUGCCCGUAAGGCUUGUCCCUAUAACCUUGACGGUUAUAU
rnacentral:rRNA from 1 species